rnacentral:lncRNA from 1 species
GGAUUCUCUCUCUCUCUCUCUCUCUCUCUCUCUCUCUCUCUCUCUCUAUAUAUAUAUAUAUGGUUGUUGGUUUAAAGGGAUCAGCAUCCUGUCCUAUGAUGGAGGUCAUGGUUGGACCGAAUCAUAUUCGAAAUAGCAGGAGGUCGGGUUGAACCAAGUCAUGUUCGAAGUGACGUGAGGCUGAUUGAAUGAGUCACAAACGAGACUCGUAGAUACUGUGUCCGUAUAUUUUAAGUGAAUUAAUUAUAUAUUCUUAUAUUCUUAUCAACUCAAACUUUCGAAAUUAAUG